rnacentral:rRNA from 1 species
AACGAACGCUGGCGGCAUGCCUAACACAUGCCAGUCGAACGAAACCUUCGGGUCUAGUGGCGCACGGGUGCGUAACGCGUGGGAACCUGCCCUUAGGUUCGGAAUAACUCCCCGAAAGGGGUGCUAAUACCGGAUAAUGUCUUCGGACCAAAGAUUUAUCGCCUUUGGAUGGGCCCGCGUUGGAUUAGCUAGUUGGUAGGGUAAAAGCCUACCAAGGCGACGAUCCAUAGCUGGGCUGAGAGGAUGAUCAGCAACACUGGGACUGAGACACGGCCCAGACUCCUACGGGAGGCAGCAGUGGGGAAUAUUGGACAAUGGGCGAAAGCAUGAUCCAGCAAUGCCGCGUGAGUGAUGAAGGCCUUAGGGUUGUAAAGCGCUUUUACCCGGGAUGAUAAUGACAGUACCGGGAGAAUAAGCUCCGGCUAACUCCGUG